UACGGAGGGUGCAAGCGUUGUCCGGAAUCACUGGGCGUAAAGGGCGCGUAGGCGGCUCAUGAAGGCUGUGGUGAAAGUCCGGGGCUCAACCUCGGAUCGGCCGUGGCGACUCGUGGGCUGGAGCACUGUAGAGGCGGGUGGAAUUCCGGGUGUAGCGGUGGAAUGCGUAGAGAUCCGGAAGAACACCAGUGGCGAAGGCGGCCCGCUGGGCAGUGGCUGACGCUGAGGCGCGACAGCGUGGGGAGCAAAAGGG
rnacentral:rRNA from 1 species